UUUUUACUGAAUUCACAAUUGGCACAUUGGCUAGCUGGACAGACAAUUUGAACGUUGAUCCUCCUUUGUCCCCUCCAACCUUCAACCACACUUCAUCUUCAGGGAUCACUUCAUGCCAGACAAGUUGGUUGGCUCUGCAAUGAAGUGAGUGUACUGUUUUCGGAAGAGAGGGUACAAAGACACAAGGCGAUGACCGGAGUUCUUCUCCGCCUGUUGGCAGUUUGAAUCCAAUGUCACACCCCAGCGUGAUAGCCAUCUGAAGUACAGACAGUGAGCAAGAGCUUGAACAUACAGCCAA